GUUAGAAUGUUAGAUAAAGAUGAGUGAUUAUUUUAUAAGAAAAACUUCAAAUACACCCCAUGUGGUUUCACAGUUUCUCAUUUUAGUAUCAUGUGGUUUCGUAUUUUCUCACUUUAGUAUCCUGUGGAACCACAGGGUACCAACUUGACACACUUUAAAUCAUAAAGUAUUAAAGCGAAAAAGUACAAAACCACAGGGAGGUAUUUGAAGUUUUUCUUAUUUUAUGUUUUUAGCUAGGUUUAUAUUUAAAUUCUCGAAGUAUGCGACUAUUACUGAUUGUACGUAGAACAGUUGGCUAAGAAUUUGAUAGUUGAAAUUCCAAGCUUGUUUUAAUAUAACAAAAUAUUAACUGCGAAGCGAAUAGCAUGCUGUCUUUUGUUUUUUUUUUUUAAAGAAAACUCUCGAAACAUACGGGUGUCCAUUGUACCUAACGCAGUUAGAUAAAAAUUGAUUAUUGUUUUAUAUUUCUAGCUAGGUUUAUAUUUAAAAUUUUAAAGUGUACGACUAUUACUGAUUGUAUCUAGCGUAGUUGGCAAAUAAUUUAAUAAUUAAUAGUUGAGAUUCCAAAUUUGAUACCUAAUUAUUUCAUACUCUUAGCUGAGUUCGUAUCUAAAAAAUGAACAAUUUGUGUAACAUUCUAUCUCUUUUUUAAAAAAAUAUUUUUUGGAAUAUACGAUUGUGGAAUUGAUCCCAAUUACUUCAUAUUUGUAAUUAAGUUUACAUAUAAAAAAUAAAAAAAUAAAUUUAUUUUUGAAGCAUAUGACUAUUACUGAUUGUACCUAGUGUAGUUGGCUAAGAAAUUAAUUAUUAGUAGUUGUUUGAUGCCUAAUUAUUUUAUAUUUUUAGUUGAGUUCAUAUCUAAAAAAUGAAUGAUUUGUAUAACAUGCUAUCUUUCUUUUAAAAAUAAUUUUUGGAGUAUACAGUUGCGAAAUUGAUGAUUGGUAUUCGAAAUUUCAACUUCGAAAUUUAAUUGCUUCAUAUUAUUAUUAUUAUUAUUAUUAUUAUUACUAUUGUUAUUAUUUGGUUUUAGCUUAAUCUAAAUGUAAAGUCCAACUCAAUUAUAAAAAAGUUAUUUAUAUAUAAAAUUUCAACUAUUAGAUCAAAAUCAAAUUGAUAAGAUCUCAUAAAUUUAUUUUUUAUACGUAUUCUUUAUAAUUCUUUUAACUUAUUAUUCAUGAGUCAGCUCAUGUUCGGCUUUUUUUAACUUAUUGUUUAUGAGUCAGCUCAUGUUUAGCUUCUUUUAACUUAUUGUUCAUGAGUCAGCUCGUGUUCGGCUCGUUAUUCACGAGCUGAAUUUUUUAGCUCGAUACUUUAACGAGUCAGCUUAUGUUCAACUUGUUUAUGAAACGAGCCGAAUACAAGCCGGCCUCAGCUCGCUCGUGUUUGGCUCUUUGACACCCAUAAUGAUAGAUUCCUCAAAAAAAAGCAUAAAAACUAUUUAAAAAAUCAAAAAAUAUAUAUAUAUAUUUACAAUUUCUAUUUUUGAUCAAAAUUUUGGAAAACAAAAACAUUAUUUUUCUAUAAAAUUU
rnacentral:lncRNA from 1 species